rnacentral:rRNA from 1 species
AAUGGGCGCAAGCCUGAUCCAGCAAUGCCGCGUGAGUGAAGAAGGCCUUCGGGUUGUAAAGCUCUUUCGGACGGAAAGAAAUCGGUGGGGUGAAUAAUCCUGCUGGAUGACGGUACCGUAAGAAGAAGCACCGGCUAACUACGUGCCAGCAGCCGCGGUAAUACGUAGGGUGCGAGCGUUAAUCGGAAUUACUGGGCGUAAAGCGUGCGCAGGCGGCGCUGUAAGACAGGUGUGAAAUCCCCGGGCUUAACCUGGGAAUGGCGCUUGUGACUGCAGUGCUCGAGUGCGGCAGAGGGGGGUGGAAUUCCACGUGUAGCAGUGAAAUGCGUAGAGAUGUGGAGGAACACCGAUGGCGAAGGCAGCCCCCUGGGUCGACACUGACGCUCAUGCACGAAAGCGUGGGGAGCAAA